CUUAGACGGAACCCCUGUGGCCUGUGAUAGUCUCUCGCUUGUGGAGGGGCUGGGUUGGUGGACAGCAGGCUCAGGACCCCUUGGCUUUGCUGAGGGAAGUUCCAGUGCCUCUCUCUUUCUGCGGAGCGCCCCCCGCAAGGAAUCUUCUCAUUAAGAUAAAAUUGGGCAUUUUCAAGACCCCCCCAAAGCUAAAAUAGGAGUAGUAUGGUUUGUGCAAACAAGUGUGGUAUAUUGCAGCGAAGGUCAAGGGGAUGCAUGAGCAUCGAAUUGAAUGAGAUCUCAGGAUUCAUCAGAACCAGAAGCUAGAAGGAUUGGCCCGCACUCUUGCCCUUCCACUAGCAUUUGCUGGUUGCCACUUUACAUUGGACAACAAUUUCUUAGAGUGUAAGAAAACCCUUGUAUCUUCAGUCUUUAUCACAGAGAUGAGGAAACUACUAUCUAGAGAGGUUUAUUAGACAGUCCCACAUAUUGGAUAAUGUUACCCAGGACUUUGCUGACAUCAUUUUAUUAAUUCCUACAAUAGCUCUGGGAAUUAAGCGAACCAUCCACAGUUUCACAGGACUAGUGAAUCCUGAAUUUAAGUUUACCAAACCACCCAAUUAUAGGAAUCACCUGAAGUUCUUUGAAAAGAUGGAUCAAACAGCCCUAUCUAUGAUAUAAAAAGUAAAAGUCUCCAGAGGAGAG
ensembl:lncRNA